rnacentral:rRNA from 1 species
UACGUAGGUGGCAAGCGUUGUCCGGAUUUAUUGGGUUUAAAGGGUGCGUAGGCGGCGUUGUAAGUCAGUGGUGAAAGUUUUCAGCUUAACUGGAAAAUUGCCAUUGAUACUGCAGUGCUUGAGUACAGAUGAGGUGGGCGGAAUGUGUCAUGUAGCGGUGAAAUGCAUAGAUAUGACACAGAACACCAAUUGCGAAGGCAGCUCACUAAGCUGUAACUGACGCUGAGGCACGAAAGCGUGGGGAUCAAACAGG